rnacentral:lncRNA from 1 species
GCCGUCGCGCCUAGUGUGGGUUCGGGGGCAGCGACCAGCGCGGAGUUUGCGCCGCGGCAGCGCGGGGCGCAGCAUGGGGCAGUGUCAGUGACCGCGCGGAGAGCGCCGCUCUGGCCAACCCGCCUCCGCCAGGCCAGCGUCCCUCCUCCCGCGGCUGCAAAGUUCAGUCUCCCCGCGGGUCCCAGGGCGGCUGCCGCUCCCUCCCCCUGCCAGGAGCCGGCGGCUCGUUUCCUCUUUCGCUCCUCGCCGCCUUUCUCUGUUCGCAGCCCGAAGCGGAGCCGCGGCUCCGGGGACCGCGGCCGCCGCCGAGCAGCAGCAGCGAGCGCUUCACUUCGCGCGGGUCAGGCGAGGGAGCGUCCCACCCCGGCAGCCGGAGCGCGGCGAGACCAGCCCAGCCCCAGGACCUGGCAAGUGAAUGCAUCUGAAUUGCUCUGAGGAGAUUCAAGAUAAGAGAAGAUCCCAGUGUAUUUCACGACUGUCCACACACAGCACAACUGAAAUGCAGCCACCUCUUUUGCACAGCAUGCUGCACAAUAUUUUGUGUGCCCAUGUUGGAGGGGGUGAAUUUCUGCCAAGAACCCCUACUCUUAAUGCUAUAUGCAUCCGAAGAAGUGGGAUGUAGCCCACGAAAGCUUAUGCUCUAAUAAAUUUGUUAGUCUCUAAGGUGCCA